ACCCUCCGGUUCCCUUUCCCAUCGGAUCUUGAUGCUGGUCUUGGUGGUCGUAAAGGAGGGAGAGCACAUUGAAACUGGCCUUAUAGCAAUGUCGUCUGGUAUAGAGCACUGGGUCAGAUUCAUACAUGC
ensembl:snoRNA Snora61 small nucleolar RNA SNORA61